rnacentral:lncRNA from 1 species
AUUAAUAAAUCAAUAUCCAACAUAAAUAAAUAAAUAGAUAAAAAGGAUUUUUAUAGCAAAAAAUCCAAUAAUUAAUGCAUUGCAUUUCGUGGAACGUGUAGAGCCACCUGGUCAUUUCAAAAGCCUCAAACCUAAAAAUCGAUCGCCAAAUUUCUAUUCACAAAUUUCAAAACUUCUUUCAAAGCGCCCAAGCCAGUUUCUUCUCUCUACUGCAACCUCUUUCUCCGGCCAUAUCCCUACAAUUCCUAUUCUUUUCAUUGUCAACAAUGGUAGACAUCACUUUCACUCAGACCCCAACCACUUUUGAUGAAACCCUCAUCACAAAUCCAUCCACCCAGGUAACAGAAAUUCCAAUAAACACUAACCCCACCGCAGAAAUCCUAACCACCACCGACUCCAUCACCACCAUUAACAACGCCACCCAAGCUGCGACUUCCUCUUCUGCAAAAGAGAACACCCCAUCUCCGGCCCGAACCGAAGUUGAAAUUGCAGAGAUAAAAAUGAUAUCAGAAUACUUGUUUGAAAAGUCCUUACUCCCAUAUCAACAUCCGAUCUACCCUUAACCAACGGGCCUUUCAUGAAAUACACCAACAAUAUCUUAUCCCGAAUGUAUACGAACUUCGAGCGCCGAAGCUCAAUGAAAGGAUGUACAGACGCCUUGACGGAUGGACUAUUAAUUGUUCCCCUUUACGCACUGAAAUAUGGGGUUAGAUACCCCUUCCAUGAAUUCAUCUCCGCCUUCCUCGGUUUCGUGGGAAUCAGGUUCACAAUUAGUGUAUCACUCAUAUAUCCACCUCAUCUGCUAUAUUAUCUUUUGCCACGACUGUGGCGUGACACCUAGCAUGGAAUUUUUCUUUGUACUAUUUACUCUUAGACGGUCCAAAGAGUUUGGCUUUCGAUAGCUGAACAAACAACCAAACAAACAAACCUGGCUGAAGACCUCUUCCAGCAACAAGGGUUGACAUUCCAACUGGUUCUAUAUCAAAGGGUCUGACACCCAUCUUCUCCCCUUUGAUACUUGUAUUAUCCUUGGAUGUUAAUUAAUAUUUGGAAAAGUUUAAUUUAUUUGUUAUGAACUAAAAUUCUAUAUGUUUAAAUUAAAUUGGCUUGAUAUGAAAUUGAUAUUUGAAAAAUAUUAGAAUUAAUUUCUCGUGGGAUUGACAACUGUCUUAUCAUCAUAUUACUUGUUGACCGUGUAUACUUGAACGUAUUUUUUGAUUGCCAAAUUAUCGAGUAAUUAUUUUCUAAUAUUUUGUUUAAUAUUGAUUUCAAUCAAGUUAACCUUAAUUUAAACUUUUAUUUAUUUAUUUUUAAUUUUUGCAUGUGUUUACCAAUUGUGAUAAAUAGACUGACAAGACUGUAAAUAAAUUCAGCUCUUAUACAAAACUUGGCGUCAGAUGGGGCCUUAUAGUUCUUUUAUUGUUAUCAUUUGUGAAUUGGAUUAACAUGAUUGUAAGUAAAUGCAGAUCUUGUACAAGACUUGGCGAAAGCUAGGGCCUUAUAGUUCAAUUUUGUAUAACACAAUUUUAUUUUAAUUAAAAAAAAAAGUUAAAAAUAAAUAAAUUAAUAAUUUUUUUUUAAUUUUUCGUUUAUUUAACUUUGUUUUUUUUCAGAUCAUACAUCUUAGCAAAUAAUAGAAGACGGUUGCAGAGAGCGACAACUGACCUCUUUUCAGGGAAGUUCUUGUAUUAAUUUCUUUCAUUGCAUACUUUAAGGAUAAUGUCAGUUUUAAGUUUGGGGGUCUUCCUAUAGUUUUUUUGAUGUGUAAAUCUAUGUUGUGAUUUUAUUUUUUAUUUUUUAUUUUUUAUUUUGUAGGUAUAUUCACUACAAACCUUCACGAGAUACAACUCGUCCACUUGGGGAAACCGUGGUGUUUAAAGGUUUGUUACACAUGUUAAGUACAAUCGUGUUUCCUACAAAAAUUAUGUUGUAUUGUUUUUAGGUAGUGUUUAUUGGGUAAUGAAUUAAUUGAAUUUGAAGAUUUUUGGUCAAAGAUAAAAAUUAUAUUUUAAUUUAAUAAUUCUUAGAAAAAGUGAUAAAAAUUGCUUAGUCUGAAUUUGUACUUUUUGUUAGUUUUUGUUUUGUUUGAGACCCUUUAAUUCUUUUAUGCACAUAUCCAUUUGGUUGAGCUAGUUUUAACUUUGAGGAAGUUUACAUGUUAAAUGUUUGUGGAAAAUAUUUAUGAACUUUAUAUUUUGUUUGAUCAUAACUUAAAGUACAAAAUGAAGGAGAAUACAAUUUGGGGAAAAUCUUGGUUAUUUGAAGAAAAAAAAAGUUAAAAUUUUUGAACCUUCCUCAUUUGAAAGAAUAGAUCGUGUUGUGGGUUAAAAUGGAGCGUAAAACGAACUCACUCACUCAUAAACACAUGCAACGAGAUGUAACGUAAAGCGCAUUUGUUCAAUGGAAAAUUAAAUGGAGUGUAACGACCCCAAAAUCAAGAUUAUUCUUCAAUCUCGAUCUUGUGCGUUAGAUAACAUCUUGUACUAGCUUAUUACCACUAUUUACUAAAAAAUGUGGAUAAUUUAAAAUUUCUCUUUUUAUCUUUCCUUCGCUUCCUGAAUCGCAACCUUUACAAUUAUAUAUUCCAGAAUCAUAUUUAUUUUAUGAUUUAUUUUAUCAGAGUAAAGACAAGUAUGUACUACUCAACCCACAAUAUGAACUCAUUCUUAUUUAAUAUCAUCAUUAUACAACUUUUCAUUACAAAACAAUCAUCACACCAUAACCAGAGCGAAUAUUCUUUAUUGAAUAUUUUAAAAUUUUAUAUAGUUGCCAAUUAUACGCAUUGAAAACUAUCAUCAAGGUUCCAAAAUAAUUUCUGAUUACAGAAAAUACAUCCUCUCGUAUGUUCUCCAAAUCCUGUCAUUUAUAUGGUAUGAAAUAUCGCAGCGCAUCCUUAACCUGAAAAAAAAAAUAAUUUUUGCAAGAUUGAGCUCAGCAAAUCUAAUAUUUUUCAUGUUUCACAUAACACAUAAAAUUAUGCUCAGUUCAUAAAUCAUAACCUUUCUAAUGUGCAUAACAUACAUGUUGCAUUUCACAUAUCAAAUAUAAAGACUGAGUUCCUUAACUCAAUCAACAUAGUCAUAGUUUGACUUUUGAAAUUCAUAAACACAUCAUAUGUAAUUCAACCUACUCAUGUAAAUUUCAUUCGCAUUGCGGUACAUAUUACAUAUAAUUAAAUCAAGGUCAUAUAACGCAUAGGAACUGAAAGGCUUGCUUUGAUCUUUGAUUAUCAACAAUAGAUUAAUAGCUUAUAGCUAUCUGCACUUAACGUAUCCUACACAACAUAUAAUCACGCACAUCAAAUAUUAGCCACAUAUUUUAUGCACCUUAAUUUACAUUAACUUAAUGUAUUGUCUUUACCUUGUUCAUUAAUUUCAUUUAGAAAUUUCUUUAUCGAUCUUGGCUUGACAUAGUCAUUCUAUGUUCUGAUAUACUAGAAACCUUGGGUCUCAUGUAUUUUAAUUUUAAAAACUUAUACUCUUAUGCCCCAAGAUUCAGUCAAACAUUAAACCCUUCCUGGCAACUCUGCAGCAUGGCGCGGUUGCGCUGCAUUUAUGCUUGGGGAGUGGCGCGGCCGCGCUACUCUCUGUUAAACCCAAAAUGAAUUCUUCAAUCUCCAGUUCAACAUACAAUAUAUUAGAAACCUCUUUAGCAUUAUAUACCACAUGUUAAUAAAGUUCAUCAUACUCACUUUACUUAUACCAAGUUGACUUUUAAAAACUACAUAAUUUUCAUCUGAUUUCUUAUAUGUAGUCAUACUAAAAUAGUCUAUUUUAUGCUUAGCCAAUAUAGACACCUUUUAGGAUCCAUUUUUAAACAUAACUAAACCUUAGUUAACAUAUCCAACUUCAGUUGAACACAUUAAAAAUUAUUUAUUUAAAACAAUAUGUCUUUUUACUUGAAAACUUAUACUAAAGCAUACUAAAUUAAGUCAAUUCUUUCAUGGAUAUCCUAGACAUCAUGAAAGACACAUAUUAGAGUCUAAACACAUAUGCUCAAAAACCCUGAACUUAAAGAACUCAUCUUGGAAUGACUGUAGAAUAGCGCAGCCGCACUGGUCUUUAACCUUGGAAGUGGCGUGGCCGCGCUACUUCAGCAGAAAUUAAUCCUUGCUCUGUUCUUUUGCAGAACUUCCACUUCAAUGGUCAAACAUAUCAUAAUUCUUAUACUAUACAAUUUUACAUACUCAGGUACUUCCCAAAUAUCUAAAAUUUUGGUUGAAUUAAAAACCAAAUUAGAUAAACUAAAAAUUCUAUAAUUUUCAAAAGAAUUCUUCUCUUUAGCAAUAUACCAAACAAUACAUGGGCAUGAUUAAAAUGGUUAAGUAUUAUAACUUCUUCGAUAACCCUGCAUCCCAUAUUUUACUAGAAAUAUGAUCACAACAAUACAAACCAAUCAAUUUCUUCCUAUCAAUUAAUGAAAGUUAUCAAUUUCUUGACUUCUUAGCUUACAAAUAUAAGAGAUGAAAAUUACCUUUUGUUUGAUAUCCUUGGACUUAGUUGUUUAUUAUAAAUUUUAAAAUCCUUCUUCCAACAAUCUCUGAUGAAUGGGUAAUAUACCCAUGAUUUAGGUAUUUCUAGAUUUAAUAUUUUGCUUAUUUUAAAGUAUUUUAGGGUAUAUUACUGUUUAUUUUAUAUUUUGUAGGUUAAUGCAGACGAAGAGAAAAAUGGGAGUUUCUAGCAAGCUGAAGAGAAAAAUUGUCAUUUUGAAACCCAGGUCAGCGUCAAGGCACUCAAACAUGAAGGAAUCCCAUUGUCGGGGCGCUGGGAGGCAGUCUUGGUUGCUUGAAUUUUGGUGCAAGGAAAGGAAAGAAAAUUAUAUUUCUACUUUGAAUAUAAUUUCAAUGAAGGCUGACCUAGACAUUACUAAAAGCUAUAAAUAGGGAGGAGAUUAUUGAUCAAAGACACACAUUUUGAGACAGCGACUGGAGAUUAAACUUGGAGAUUGCAGAGGAGCACACAAUGAUAUCAUAUUAGAUUAAAGACUGGAGACUUUACUGAGUUUUUAUUCUUCUACUCUAGUUUGUAAUUUAAUUGUGAUGUUUUCUAUGAGAUUUUUUAUUUCGAUUUUCAAUAUGAACUAACUUUUUAAUUAAGGCUAUAAUUUAUCUUUUCACUGCAUGUAACAAUUUGGAAUUGGA